GUAUUACUCCCUCCGUCCGAAAAUACUUGUCCCAGAAAUGGAUGUAUCUAGACUUAUUUUAGUUAUAGAUACAUCCAUUUUAUUCAUUUUUAAGACAAGUAUUUCUGGACGGAGGGAGUAUAUA
rnacentral:pre_miRNA from 1 species